AUGAUGGGGACGGUAGUUGAGGGAGGAGGCUCUGGCUUGGGAGGUUGGUCAGGUUUAAGAGUGAUGAAUUGGAUUGGGGACACUGCUUCUUCUUUCUCCCGAUCUUCUUCUCUCUUUAUCUCAUCUUCCUGCAUCCUUUCCUCCGCUCUCUGUAUUUCCAUUUCUUGCUCUUUUUCUUUGAGUUUCUCCCUUUCCUUCUCUCUCAAUCUCUCCUCUUUCAUCCUAAGCUUCCCCCUCUCUCCUUCCUCUACCUGUCUCUCCUUUUCCCUUUCCACUUCUCGCUGUCUUUCUCCCUUCUCUUCUUUCCUCUUUCUCUCUUCCUCCUCUCUCAGUCUCUCCCUUUCCUUCUCAAGUUCUAUCUGUCUUUCUCUCUCCUUCUCUUCUUUCCUCUUUCUCUCUCUCUCGUCCUCCUCUCGCUGUCUCUCCCUUUCCUUCUCAAGUUCUAUCUGUCUUUUUCUCUCCUUCUCUUCUUUCCUCGUUCUCUCUCUCUCAUCCUCCUCUCUCUGUCUCUCCCUUUCCUUCUCAAAUUCUAUCAGUCUUUCUCUCUCCUUCUCUUCUUUCCUCUUUCUCUCUCUCUCAUCCUCCUCUCUCUGUCUCUCCCUUUCCUUCUCAAAUUCUAUCAGUCUUUCUCUCUCCUUCUCUUCUUUCCUCUUUCUCUCUCUCUCAUCCUCCUCUCUCUGUCUCUCUCUUUCCUUCUCAAAUUCUAUCAGUCUUUCUCUCUCCUCUUCUUUCCUCUUUCUCUCUCUCUCUUCUUCAUCUCUCUGUCUCUCCCUUUCCUUCUCAAAUUCUAUCAGUCUUUCUCUCUCCUCUUCUUUCCUCUUUCUCUCUCUCUCAUCCUCCUCUCUCUGUCUCUCCCUAUCCCUCUCCUCCUCUCUCUGUCUCUCCCUUUCCUUCUCAAAUUCUAUCAGUCUUUCUCUCUCCUCUUCUUUCCUCUUUCUCUCUCUCUCUUCUUCAUCUCUCUGUCUCUCCCUUUCCUUCUCAAAUUCUAUCAGUCUUUCUCUCUCCUCUUCUUUCCUCUUUCUCUCUCUCUCAUCCUCCUCUCUCUGUCUCUCCCUUUCCUUCUCAAAUUCUAUCAGUCUUUCUCUCUCCUCUUCUUUCCUCUUUCUCUCUCUCUCUUCCUCCUCUCUCUGUCUCUCCCUUUCCUUCUCAAAUUCUAUCAGUCUUUCUCUCUCCUCUUCUUUCCUCUUUCUCUCUCUCUCUUCUUCAUCUCUCUGUCUCUCCCUUUCCUUCUCAAAUUCUAUCAGUCUUUCUCUCUCCUCUUCUUUCCUCUUUCUCUCUCUCUCAUCCUCCUCUCUCUGUCUCUCCCUUUCCUUCUCAAAUUCUAUCAGUCUUUCUCUCUCCUCUUCUUUCCUCUUUCUCUCUCUCUCUUCCUCCUCUCUCAGUCUCUCCCUUUCCUUCUCAAGUUCUAUCUGUCUUUCUCUCUCCUUUUCUUCUUUCCUCUUUCUCUCUCUCUCUUCUUUAUCUCUCUGUCUCUCCCUAUCCCUCUCCUCCUCUCUCUGUCUCUGUCUCUUCAUUUCCCUCUCCAUUUCUCUUUGUCUUUUUCUCUCCUCUUCUUCUUCCCUCUUUCUCUCUUCCUCCUCUCUCUGUCUCUCCCUUUCCCUCUCCACUACCUUUUGUCUUUCUCUCUCCCUCUCAUCUUCUGCCUGUCUCUCUUCUAGUUCCAGCUGUUUUAAUUGA
ensembl:lncRNA